rnacentral:rRNA from 1 species
UUAGGAAUCUUGCGCAAUGGGCGAAAGCCUGACGCAGCGAUGCCGCGUGCGGGAUGAAGGCCCUCGGGUCGUAAACCGCUUUCAGCAGGGACGAUAGUGACGGUACCUGCAGAAGAAGCCCCGGCCAACUACGUGCCAGCAGCCGCGGUAAUACGUAGGGGGCGAGCGUUGUCCGGAUUUAUUGGGCGUAAAGAGCUCGUAGGCGGUUUGGUAAGUCGGGUGUGAAAUCUCCACGCUCAACGUGGAGGGGCCACUCGAUACUGCCAUGACUCGAGUCCGGUAGAGGAGUGUGGAAUUCUCGGUGUAGCGGUGAAAUGCGCAGAUAUCGGGAGGAACACCCGUAGCGAAGGCGGCACUCUGGGCCGGAACUGACGCUGAGGAGCGAAAGCGUGGGGAGCAAACAGGAUUAGAUACC